rnacentral:rRNA from 1 species
GUGGCGGACGGGUGAGUAACGCGUAAAGAACUUGCCUUGCAGUCUGGGACAACGUCUGGAAACGGACGCUAAUACCGGAUAUUAUGAUUGAAUCGCAUGAUUUAAUUAUGAAAGCUAUAUGCGCUGCGAGAGAGCUUUGCGUCCCAUUAGUUAGUUGGUGAGGUAACGGCUCACCAAGACAAUGAUGGGUAGCCGGCCUGAGAGGGUGAACGGCCACAAGGGGACUGAGACACGGCCCUUACUCCUACGGGAGGCAGCAGUGGGGAAUAUUGCACAAUGGGCGCAAGCCUGAUGCAGCAACGCCGCGUGAGCGAUGAAGGCCUUCGGGUCGUAAAGCUCUGUCCUCAAGGAAGAUAAUGACGGUACUUGAGGAGGAAGCCCCGGCUAACUACGUGCCAGCAGCCGCGGUAAUACGUAGGGGGCAAGCGUUAUCCGGAUUUACUGGGUGUAAAGGGAGCGUAGACGGUGUUGCAAGUCUGAUGUGAAAGGCGGGGGCUCAACCCCUGGACUGCAUUGGAAACUGUGAUACUCGAGUGCCGGAGAGGUAAGCGGAAUUCCUAGUGUAGCGGUGAAAUGCGUAGAUAUUAGGAGGAACACCAGUGGCGAAGGCGGCUUACUGGACGGUAACUGACGUUGAGGCUCGAAAGCGUGGGGAGCAAACAGGAUUAGAUACCCUGGUAGUCCACGCCGUAAACGAUGGAUACUAGGUGUGGGGGGACUGACCCCCUCCGUGCCGCAGUUAACACAAUAAGUAUCCCACCUGGGGAGUACGAUCGUAAGGUUGAAACUCAAAGGAAUUGACGGGGGCCCGCACAAGCGGUGGAGUAUGUGGUUUAAUUCGAAGCAACGCGAAGAACCUUACCAGGGCUUGACAUCCUACUAACGAAGCAGAGAUGCAUUAGGUGCCCUUCGGGGAAAGUAGAGACAGGUGGUGCAUGGUUGUCGUCAGCUCGUGUCGUGAGAUGUUGGGUUAAGUCCCGCAACGAGCGCAACCCCUAUUGUUAGUUGCUACGCAAGAGCACUCUAGCGAGACUGCCGUUGAUAAAACGGAGGAAGGUGGGGAUGACGUCAAAUCAUCAUGCCCCUUAUGACCUGGGCUACACACGUACUACAAUGGUGAUAGAACAGAGGGAAGCAACACAGCGAUGUGAAGCAAAUCCCGAAAAAUCAUCUCAGUUCAGAUUGCAGGCUGCAACUCGCCUGCAUGAAGUCGGAAUUGCUAGUAAUCGCGGAUCAGCAUGCCGCGGUGAAUACGUUCUCGGGUCUUGUACACACCGCCCGUCA